AGCUUUGCGCAGUGGCAGUGUCUUAGCCAAUGAGGUUUAUCCGAGGCGCGGUUAUUGCUAAUUAAAUGUGCUGUUUUUAAAACGUCACGGUUGGUUAGAUAACCUGUUGCAGAUAAAAACAUCGUAUAAACACAUAAAGAU
ensembl:snRNA U4 U4 spliceosomal RNA